rnacentral:rRNA from 1 species
GACGAAGGAUGCAAGCGUUAUCCGGAUUCAUUGGGUUUAAAGGGCGCGUAGGUGGUCUUAUAAGUCAGUGGUGAAAUCUCUCAGCUUAACUGAGAAAUUGCCAUUGAUACUGUAGGACUUGAGUAUAGUUGCCGUUGGCGGAAUAUGACAUGUAGUGGUGAAAUACAUAGAGAUGUCAUAGAACACCGAUUGCGAAGGCAGCUGACGAAACUAUAACUGACACUGAGGCUCGAAAGUGCGGGGAUCAAACAGG